rnacentral:rRNA from 1 species
GAUUAAGUUAUUAAGGGCGCACGGUGGAUGCCUUGGCACUAGAAGCCGAUGAAGGACGUUACUAACGACGAUAUGCUUUGGGGAGCUGUAAGUAAGCUUUGAUCCAGAGAUUUCCGAAUGGGGAAACCCAGCAUGAGUUAUGUCAUGUUAUCGAUAUGUGAAUACAUAGCAUAUCAGAAGGCACACCCGGAGAACUGAAACAUCUUAGUACCCGGAGGAAGAGAAAGAAAAUUCGAUUCCCUUAGUAGCGGCGAGCGAAACGGGAAGAGCCCAAACCAACAAGCUUGCUUGUUGGGGUUGUAGGACACUCUAUACGGAGUUACAAAGGACGACAUUAGACGAAUCAUCUGGAAAGAUGAAUCAAAGAAGGUAAUAAUCCUGUAGUCGAAAAUGUUGUCUCUCUUGAGUGGAUCCUGAGUACGACGGAGCACGUGAAAUUCCGUCGGAAUCUGGGAGGACCAUCUCCUAAGGCUAAAUACUCUCUAGUGACCGAUAGUGAACCAGUACCGUGAGGGAAAGGUGAAAAGCACCCCGGAAGGGGAGUGAAAUAGAACCUGAAACCGUGUGCUUACAAGUAGUCAGAGCCCGUUAAUGGGUGAUGGCGUGCCUUUUGUAGAAUGAACCGGCGAGUUACGAUUUGAUGCAAGGUUAAGCAGUAAAUGUGGAGCCGUAGCGAAAGCGAGUCUGAAUAGGGCGUUUAGUAUUUGGUCGUAGACCCGAAACCAGGUGAUCUACCCUUGGUCAGGUUGAAGUUCAGGUAACACUGAAUGGAGGACCGAACCGACUUACGUUGAAAAGUGAGCGGAUGAACUGAGGGUAGCGGAGAAAUUCCAAUCGAACCUGGAGAUAGCUGGUUCUCUCCGAAAUAGCUUUAGGGCUAGCCUCAAGUGAUGAUUAUUGGAGGUAGAGCACUGUUUGGACGAGGGGCCCCUCUCGGGUUACCGAAUUCAGACAAACUCCGAAUGCCAAUUAAUUUAACUUGGGAGUCAGAACAUGGGUGAUAAGGUCCGUGUUCGAAAGGGAAACAGCCCAGACCACCAGCUAAGGUCCCAAAAUAUAUGUUAAGUGGAAAAGGAUGUGGCGUUGCCCAGACAACUAGGAUGUUGGCUUAGAAGCAGCCAUCAUUUAAAGAGUGCGUAAUAGCUCACUAGUCGAGUGACACUGCGCCGAAAAUGUACCGGGGCUAAACAUAUUACCGAAGCUGUGGAUUGUCCUUUGGACAAUGGUAGGAGAGCGUUCUAAGGGCGUUGAAGCAUGAUCGUAAGGACAUGUGGAGCGCUUAGAAGUGAGAAUGCCGGUGUGAGUAGCGAAAGACGGGUGAGAAUCCCGUCCACCGAUUGACUAAGGUUUCCAGAGGAAGGCUCGUCCGCUCUGGGUUAGUCGGGUCCUAAGCUGAGGCCGACAGGCGUAGGCGAUGGAUAACAGGUUGAUAUUCCUGUACCACCUAUAAUCGUUUUAAUCGAUGGGGGGACGCAGUAGGAUAGGCGAAGCGUGCGAUUGGAUUGCACGUCUAAGCAGUAAGGCUGAGUAUUAGGCAAAUCCGGUACUCAUUAAGGCUGAGCUGUGAUGGGGAGAAGACAUUGUGUCUUCGAGUCGUUGAUUUCACACUGCCGAGAAAAGCCUCUAGAUAGAAAAUAGGUGCCCGUACCGCAAACCGACACAGGUAGUCAAGAUGAGAAUUCUAAGGUGAGCGAGCGAACUCUCGUUAAGGAACUCGGCAAAAUGACCCCGUAACUUCGGGAGAAGGGGUGCUCUUUAGGGUUAACGCCCAGAAGAGCCGCAGUGAAUAGGCCCAAGCGACUGUUUAUCAAAAACACAGGUCUCUGCUAAACCGUAAGGUGAUGUAUAGGGGCUGACGCCUGCCCGGUGCUGGAAGGUUAAGAGGAGUGGUUAGCUUCUGCGAAGCUACGAAUCGAAGCCCCAGUAAACGGCGGCCGUAACUAUAACGGUCCUAAGGUAGCGAAAUUCCUUGUCGGGUAAGUUCCGACCCGCACGAAAGGCGUAACGAUUUGGGCACUGUCUCAACGAGAGACUCGGUGAAAUCAUAGUACCUGUGAAGAUGCAGGUUACCCGCGACAGGACGGAAAGACCCCGUGGAGCUUUACUGUAGCCUGAUAUUGAAAUUCGGCACAGCUUGUACAGGAUAGGUAGGAGCCUUUGAAACGUGAGCGCUAGCUUACGUGGAGGCGCUGGUGGGAUACUACCCUAGCUGUGUUGGCUUUCUAACCCGCACCACUUAUCGUGGUGGGAGACAGUGUCAGGCGGGCAGUUUGACUGGGGCGGUCGCCUCCUAAAAGGUAACGGAGGCGCUCAAAGGUUCCCUCAGAAUGGUUGGAAAUCAUUCAUAGAGUGUAAAGGCAUAAGGGAGCUUGACUGCGAGACCUACAAGUCGAGCAGGGUCGAAAGACGGACUUAGUGAUCCGGUGGUUCCGCAUGGAAGGGCCAUCGCUCAACGGAUAAAAGCUACCCCGGGGAUAACAGGCUUAUCUCCCCCAAGAGUUCACAUCGACGGGGAGGUUUGGCACCUCGAUGUCGGCUCAUCGCAUCCUGGGGCUGUAGUCGGUCCCAAGGGUUGGGCUGUUCGCCCAUUAAAGCGGUACGCGAGCUGGGUUCAGAACGUCGUGAGACAGUUCGGUCCCUAUCCGUCGUGGGCGUAGGAAAUUUGAGAGGAGCUGUCCUUAGUACGAGAGGACCGGGAUGGACAUACCUCUGGUGUACCAGUUGUCGUGCCAACGGCAUAGCUGGGUAGCUAUGUGUGGACGGGAUAAGUGCUGAAAGCAUCUAAGCAUGAAGCCCCCCCUCAAGAUGAGAUUUCCCAACUUCGGUUAUAAGAUCCCUCAAAGAUGAUGAGGUUAAUAGGUUCGAGGUGGAAGCAUGGUGACAUGUGGAGCUGACGAAUACUAAUCGAUCGAAGACUUAAUCAA